rnacentral:rRNA from 1 species
AGCCAGCAGCCGCGGUAAUACGGAGGGUGCAAGCGUUGUUCGGAAUCACUGGGCGUAAAGGGCGCGUAGGCGGUCUUGCAAGUCUGAUGUGAAAGCCCGGGGCUUAACCCCGGAAGUGCAUUGGAAACUGCAAGACUUGAGUUCGGGAGAGGAAGGCAGAAUUCCCGGUGUAGGGUUGAAAUCCGUAGAUAUCGGGAGGAAAACCGGUGGCGAAGGCGGCCUUCUGGAACGAAACUGACGCUGAGGCGCGAAAGCGUGGGGAGCAAACAGGAUUAGAGACCCUGGUAGUCCACGCGGUAAACGAUGGAUGCUGGGUGUGGGGUUCAAUACGGAGCUCCGUGCCGAAGCUAACGCAUUAAGCAUCCCGCCUGGGGAGUACGGUCGCAAGACUAAAACUUAAAGGAAUUGGCGGGGGAU